ensembl:lncRNA
GAUAGGGAACAGACUAGUAGUUUCAGGAAGGUGGGUGAGAUUGUUGUCAUCUGAUAGGAAACAGACUAGUAGUGUUGGAAGGUGGGUGAGAUUGUUGUCAUCUGAUAGGAAACAGACUAGUAGUGUUGGAAGGUGGAUGAGAUUGUUGUCAUCUGAUAGGAAACAGACUAGUAGUGUUGGAAGGUGGGUGAGAUUGUUGUCAUCUGAUAGGAAACAGACUAGUAGUGUCGGAAGGUGGGUGAGAUUGUUGUCAUCUGAUAGGGAACAGACUAGUAGUGUCGGAAGGUGGGUGAGAUUGUUGUCAUCUGAUAGGAAACAGACUAGUAGUGUUGGAAGGUGGGUGAGAUUGUUGUCAUCUGAUAGGAAACAGACUAGUAGUUUCAGGAAGGUGGGUGAGAUUGUUGUCAUCUGAUAGGAAACAGACUAGUAGUUUCAGGAAGGUGGGUGAGAUUGUUGUCAUCUGAUAGGAAACAGACUAGUAGUGUCAGAAGGUGGGUGAGAUUGUUGCCUUCUACUCGGCAGGUCAGGAAGAGUAAUUUUCCCUUGAAGGCUUUGACAAGGCUGUACAUCUGAUGUGCAAAAAGGCCCUUCCCUUUUAGUUUGG